UCACUUUCUUUUCUGUUGACGUUGCCCGCAAGUUAGCUCUUGCUACCCACUACCAUUCAUCUAGUGUCUUCUUCACACUUCUUCUGACACCUGCAGACUGUAAACAUGUCAGAUCGAGACCUUCUGACAUGCCCUUACUUUAGGGGGAUUUUUUUUCUUCUCUCAAAAUAACUCAAUUUUCGAUGUGGUAUGCUAAGUAUUAUCAAGCUGUCAAUUCGUUUAUUUAUUGAAUUGGUCACAAAGUUCUUAUAGUUUGGGUUAGUUUUGAUUAGUCUGAAUUAACUUAGUCGAGGAGGUGGAGAUAACAGGUACAGAGCUUAGUGGUAGCAUAAUAAUACCUUCGCCAUGAUCUUUGUCUGAAAGAUGACUUGAACUUCUUGGAAAUCAGUUGAUACUACCACAGAUAAUCACAUUUCCAACAGACAAUUAGUUUGAGAGGGUCCGGGUACUGAAGCGUGCAAAUCACAAGCAAUAUAAACUCCCUUCCCUCCACCCAUGGUGUUGCCUUCCCUGUCUUCAUGUUGCGGUUCCAGCAACAAAUAAUGACAAGGUGCACGUUAUCAGGACGUAGCGAGGUGGAGCUAGUGGAGAUCUCGAGUAGCGAGAGGUCGCUACCAGCGACACCGAAUAGCUACAUGCAUCUUAUAGUAGCUGAGUAUCUCAAUAUCUGAGUAGCUAAACGCAGUUGCGUGCUGCCUCUGAAGUGAGUUGAUGGACUGUUUAGCACGACGGGGAAGGAACAGUUGGACGUCUACGACGUUGAAAGGACGUAAAGCACGGUUUGACGUAAAGCAGCAGUCUUCACUCACUGACAUAUCUGUGUGAGAAUGUACAACAAAUUACAGCAGAUCAUAAUUGCUCUUAAUAUUUCCUUUACCAUGGCAGAGGAUCUCCAAUAAUGUGUUGGACUGCCCUGUUAGUCUGUCAGUUCACUCAGCUGCUCUACACAAAUAAGGGCUGUGCUCAUGUUCAGGGCCAGUUGUCUCCAAGGUAAUGCGCAACAUUACUAAUGGCAUCUUGGUAUGCCCUCCUCCUUACACACACACACAUGGCAGUUUCAUUAGUAAACUAUCAAUAGAUGACAAUAAAGACCGCAUAUGCACUCGGCGUUAAAAAAAGAAAAAAAAAAAAAAGACGGGCUGUGCAUACAUUAGUAAAAUUGUUCAGACUUUCAAGUCACCUACAGUUCCAUCAAGCAGGGCCUGUAGUCGAAAUAACCACCUAGCUCAAGGCCUGCACACACAUCUUAAGGACAUGCGACAUCGUGAUAUGUGUGUAGAGACCCCUCAGUUCGUUUUCCAUGUAGCUCGUAUGUGGACAUUUCUUUAUGUAGCUGACAUGCUGACAUCACCAUCUAUCUUCUUUCUCUUCCUGAGAUUUCUUUGAUCUGUUAGUCGCCACAAAUGAAAGUGUUGUCUCUUAACAAUUGACCUGUAACCACAGACCCUCCUCCCAGUUAUCGUGAUCCCUAGUUCGUCUGCAGCAUGCUCAUUACCCAGACAGCAAUGCGUUGAGUUUGGAAGCGAGAGAAAUUUGUGUUUGUCGUUAACUGCGCUAGUGACCUAAACAUAUGCCAAAACAAAGGUGUAUUUACAUGCACAGUGCUAGAGUCGGCAGGAGCUUUUAUCUUUUUUUUCUUUCCACUGUCUGAGCCGUACGUCACCUGAUCUGACCGUGUCUGCCAAGUGUGGCCUGCUCAGUUCUUUCCACGACCUGUGUACAGUGUCUGCAUACUUUCUGCUGUUCUUGAUGCCAAGGCAUCAUCACAUCCACUGCGUUGUUCAGCCAGGCCUCACUUGUCUGUGAUAUCUAGCAUCUAUACACGCUCCAUAGACUAGUCCCUCAGUUGCGCCAUCUACGCCAGGAAUCCAAGCUUUUCUCCCCAUAACGUUUGCUGUGCGCGCUCCAUUCAGUCCCUGACCUGUUUCAAAUCGCUACUAAUCUUAGUUUCUAUGGUAAAUGCAAGAUUGAAGUACAUGGCAUGUAGUCACGCGAAUUUGGCUGGCCGAACUGUGCAGUGAUAACAGAUGUUCAUAUCUUAACUCUGUCACAUUUUCUUUUUGUAAAUUUGUACAGAGGUUUUACCAUUUCUCUCGGUUUCUGCUUGUAAUUAUAUUUCUUCCGAUUUUUUUCUUAUUGAUCACUGGCGAUGAAAGUUUUCUCUUUGUGAGAUUGUAUGGCAAAUAAAGGUGGUCGUUACUCAAA
rnacentral:lncRNA from 1 species